rnacentral:lncRNA from 1 species
CCAUUUACCGGCACAUAUUUUUUUUGAUGCGUUUAAUCGAAUUUAUAGAUGUAGGAGUUUCUUUUUAUUUUUUGCUCUGUGUGGAUUUAGGUUCCUCCGUCGAUCGGUGAUAGUUAUGGACUAGAUUUUGGAUCGAUGUGAUUCGAGUUUGUGUAGUGUAUUCGAGGGUUCCUUAGUUACGUUAAUUGAUUAUUGCGGUUUACUAUAGCCAAUUUUAUGGAUCGUUUGCCCAGGUUACAGACAGUUUGAUUCUGGACUUGUCUGUGUUCAUUGUUGUCAUGUAUGGCACACAAGUAUAAGUUCCAACAAUUCAGCUAAGCACUAUUAUUUAGUCUGCAGUGGUAUGCUCCUUAUUGUGGCGUUGUACUUAGCGGAACUUGUUCACUUUGACAGCCGUGUCUGUGCGAACCCUCAUGGACUGAUCAGGAAGUACGGGCUGAUGUGCUGCAGGCAGUGCUUCCGCAGCAAUGCCAAGGACAUUGGCUUCAUCAAGUACCGCUGAAAUCAGGUGGGAAUGGACCAUGUGGUAGAGGCGAGGCUGUAGUUUUAUUUCCAGUAAUUUAGAUGUUUUGUUCAGAAGUCUGCUAGUAAAGACUGCUACGUUUAUGAUGAAGAACUUAGCCAUGUUGGUCAUAUUGAUCAUGAGUUACCUAUGUUGAGCUUAAACUAUCUUGUGUCCAACCAUCGCUGGGUAGUAUGAUUACUGUAAUGUAGGGUGGUUAAGGUCGCAAACUAAUACUUAUAUUGCAUGUGUCGAAGAUCCAUUCCAAUUGUACUUCUAGCGCACUAUUUGUGAAAUGUUGCUGGGCCUGUACGGCAUUGACAUUA